CACAAUAACAUAUGAAGGCUGCACCGCCAACAGGCGGCAAGGCUGGAGUAUUUUAUUACCCUUGUCUUUUGCGCACUUGUUGUUUCCUGGGCGGGUUCGCCCGCCUCCAGGACCACAUGAUAAACCUUUUUUAUGCAGUUGCAAUCAGCGUCAGUACAACAAAUGUAAUCAUUUA
rnacentral:misc_RNA from 1 species